CCCAUAAAGAAAUGAUGAAGUAAAUGUUGGUAGGGACAUCUGAGUCAAUGUGAGGAAAUGCCAACAACUCUGACUGAAUGGG